rnacentral:tRNA from 1 species
GCCGUCGUAAGUCAAGGGUUUCAUGACUUCUUGUGAACUGGAGUGAAGCUAUAUAUCGGGGACUGAAAAUCCCCGUGUCGGGAGUUCAAUUCUCUCCCUCGGCACCA